rnacentral:rRNA from 1 species
GUACGAGAGGACCGGGAUGGACGUACCGCUGGUGUACCAGUUGUUCCGCCAGGAGCACCGCUGGGUAGCCAAGUACGGACGGGAUAAGCGCUGAAAGCAUCUAAGCGUGAAGCCCCCCUCAAGAUGAGAUUUCCCAAUUAGUAAGACCCCUUGAAGACGACGAGGUUGAUAGGUUCGGGGUGGAAGCACAGCAAUGUGUGGAGCUGACGAAUACUAAUCGGUCGAGGGCUUAUCCUA